rnacentral:rRNA from 1 species
GAAGCGGAGCAAAUCUCAAAAACCGGUCCCAGUUCGGAUUGUAGGCUGCAACUCGCCUACAUGAAGUCGGAGUUGCUAGUAAUCGCGGAUCAGAAUGCCGCGGUGAAUGCGUUCCCGGGUCUUGUACACACCGCCCGUCACACCAUGGAAGUUGGGGGCGCCCGAAGUUGCCUAAGAAAUAAGGUACCUAAGGCGAAACCAAUGACUGGGGUGAAGUCGUAACAAGGUAGC